rnacentral:rRNA from 1 species
CCUACGGGGGGCAGCAGUGAGGAAUAUUGGUCAAUGGACGAGAGUCUGAACCAGCCAAGUAGCGUGAAGGAUGACUGCCCUAUGGGUUGUAAACUUCUUUUAUAAAGGAAUAAAACGAGGCACGUGUGCCUUUUUGCAUGUACUUUAUGAAUAAGGAUCGGCUAACUCCGUGCCAGCAGCCGCGGUAAUACGGAGGAUCCGAGCGUUAUCCAGAUUGAUUGGGUUUAAAGGGAGCGUAGAUGGGUUGUUAAGUCAGUUGUGAAAGUUUGCGGCUCAACCGUAAAAUUGCAAUUGAUACUGGCAGUCUUGAGUACAGUUGAGGUAGGCGGAAUUCGUGGUGUAGCGGUGAAAUGCUUAGAUAUCACGAAGAACCCCGAUUGCGAAGGCAGCUUACUAAACUGUGACUGACAUUGAUGCUCGAAAGUGUGGGUAUCAAACAGGAUUAGAUACCCUUGUAGUC